rnacentral:rRNA from 1 species
CAGUCGCCGCGGUAAUACGUAGGGUGCGAGCGUUAAUCGGAAUUACUGGGCGUAAAGCGUGCGCAGGCGGUUGUGUAAGACAGGUGUGAAAUCCCCGGGCUUAACCUGGGAACUGCGCUUGUGACUGCACAGCUAGAGUAUGGCAGAGGGGGGUGGAAUUCCACGUGUAGCAGUGAAAUGCGUAGAGAUGUGGAGGAACACCGAUGGCGAAGGCAGCCCCCUGGGCCAAUACUGACGCUCAUGCACGAAAGCGUGGGGAGCAAACAGGAUUAGAGACCCGAGUAGUCCCUGUCUCUUAUAC